rnacentral:tRNA from 1 species
GGUGCUACGGUUCAGUGGUAGAGUGUGUGCUUAGCAUGCACGAGGUCCAGGGUUCAAUCCCUGGUACUUCCA